rnacentral:misc_RNA from 1 species
UUUCCGUAGGUGAACCUGCGGAAGGAUCAUUAUUGAAAUAAACCUGAUAGGUUGUUGCUGGUUCUCUCGGGAGCAUGUGCACACUUGUCAUUUUUAUAUUUCCACCUGUGCACCUCUUGUAGAUCUGAAUACCUUUCUGAAUGCCCCAGGCAUUGAGGUUUUGAGGAUUGAUUUUUUUUUCUUUCCUCACAUUUUCAGGUUUAUGUUUUCAUAUACCCAAAGUAUGUUAUAGAAUGUUAUAAACGGGCCUCUGUGCCUAUAAAUUUAUACAACUUUCAGCAACGGAUCUCUUGGCUCUC